CGGGGGCGUCACACAAGCGGUGGAGCAUGUGGCUUAAUUCGAGGCAACGCGAAGAACCUUAUCCUGGGCUUGACAUGGUCGGAUUAGCUCUCUGAAAGGAGAGUGACGCCUUCGGGUGGAACGAUCACAGGUGCUGCAUGGCUGUCGUCAGCUCGUGUCGUGAGAUGUCGCGUUAAGUCGCUAAACGAGCGCAACCCCUGUCCUUAGUUGCCAACACGUCAUGGUGGGGACUCUAAGGAGACCGCCGGCGUCAAGCCGGAGGAAGGCGGGGAUGACGUCAAGUCCUCAUGGCCUUUAUGCCCAGGGCUGCACACGUGCUACAAUGGGGCGUACAGAGGGAAGCCAAGCUGCGAAGCGGAGCAAAUCCCAGAAAGCGUCCCCCAGUUCGGAUUGCAGGCUGCAACUCGCCUGCAUGAAGCCGGAAUCGCUAGUAAUCGCGGGUCAGCAAUACCGCGGUGAAUGUGUUCCUGAGCCUU
rnacentral:rRNA from 1 species